GUUCCAAAAGCCAACGUUGCGGGGAAGGCCGUGACCAGCCUUCGCCGGGUCGGGCUCUUUGGAAGAGAAAAAAAGACCGCACUCCACGGUGGACUAUAUAUCCGGUUGUAGUUCAUUACUGUAAGGUGGCCAACAGA